AUGAAAGCCAGAUAGUUUACACCUAAACUUUCUUCACUAAUGUGGUUGAUGUGUUGUUCUUUUUAUGUGUUGUUUUUGAAUUUACGGAAGCGGGUUUGCACUCAAUACCAUCGUCAGAUGCCAGUGACAGAAGGAAAAGCACUACCAUUUCUCAUUCAGCUCCACAAUUGGCUUUAUGGGUCUUCGUAUCACUAGAAUAGAAAUGAAGCUGCUGCUUUCUUUUCUUAUUUUUCUUUUUUUUUUUGUUUAAUCAGUUUUGUCUUUUCUUCAUUUCCUUUUUGAAUAUUUGAUUUGGCAAUGUUGGUGCAUCGAUUCUUAUAUGGUUUGUUAGUGAGACUCGGACAGUAAUGAUGUAUUAUGCGUCUUGUUUUCCCAACUCUUGAAAAUUGCUUUGUUCCAAAAAAAAAAA
rnacentral:misc_RNA from 1 species